ensembl:lncRNA
CACAGAGAAGACAUCUCACCCACAGAGACUAAGUGGCUGUAGCUCUCCAGCAUCACAUCCCAGUAUAGCAUCCUCUGAUACCCGUCAGUUGUCAGCACUCAUCCCGGGUGAAGUCCACAGUCAUGUCCUUGAAUGACAUGGGUCCUUGGCCAGCACACUUCUAUUCAAACCAAAGAGAUCAGUACUGAGUGACAUGAAAGAUAUGCAAAAUAAUUCUUAACAUGUUUUAAAUUUACCAUAAAUAUUAUACAGGCUGCCAAUCUGCAUGCUGCUUUGUGGUUAUAGAUUGAAGUGGUAUUGUGAUAGGAAAAUCCAGAUGGUGUAUUAACUUAUUAAUUCCAACAAAAACUGAAGUUCCUACCAUGCGUCUGAAAUUGUCCCAGCUUGCCAAGACUGUUGAGUUAAAUCAGUCCUUUUUGUUUGGCCUUCAAGGAGCUUAAAGGAGACAAAUUAUAUCUACGAAUACUCUUCCUGUAAGCAGAGAAGAAAGCACUGGGGUAUCUUCUGCCUCCACAGGUGGGAGGUGUGGCCACUGAAGACAAUGAGGAGCCAGUGAAGAAACGCAUGCAAUCUCUGUCGCAGCUGUAACAUUUACAUUAAACAGCAACAAGGAGCUUCCCUGGUGCUCACAGGUGGAGAGUCCACUUGCCAAUGCAGAGGAUACAGGUUUGAUCCCUGAUCUGGAAGGAUCCCACAUGCCAUGAAGCAGCUGAGCUCAUGCACCACAACUAUUGAGUCUAUGCUCUAGAGCCCAGAAGCUGCAACUAUUGAGCCCACAUGCCCUAGGGCCCAUGCUCUGAAACAAGAGAAGCCACCGUAAUGCACACCUCGACUAGAGUAGCUCCCACUUGCUGCAACUAAAGAAAGCCUGUGCAGCAGUGAAGAUCCAACACAGCCAAAAAGUAAAUGCAUGAAUAAAAUAUUAAAAAAUGAAAUUAAAAAAAAAAGAAAUGAUGACAUCUUAAAGGUAGUAGAGUCUAGAUGCCACCCAGGAUGAGGUGAGGGGCAGGAAGGACAGGAUGAACCCCAUUCUGGUAGCUUUUUAUCUGUUUCUACUUUUCCAUCUUAAUAUAUGAACAGACUAAUAAAACGCCCGGAAAUCCACUGGAAAACAAAAUAGGGAACAGGGAAGAGAAACACUUCACCUGGCAUUUGCUCAUUUUCUGUUGUUCUUGGAAGACUGUCCAAACCUAGGAGGGCAUUCCUGGAAGAGGAGGAAGAGGCAACAGGAUGAUGAGAGCUCCGUGAUGCUCCACACGCCAGCUGGGUAACUGUGAUCCUGGAGAAGGAGAGCAAGGCUAACUUACUGCUUUAACUACUUACAACCCUGCCCACUAACACAGAAACAUCUAAAGCAGAAUUAUUAAGCAAAUGAUAGUGUCUCAAAAUAUGAUGCCUUCAUUAAAACUGAUAUUGCAGAGGAGAAAACCUAAAGGCUAUUUUGUGUAACUGUUUUACUACCAAGAUAUUAACCCCUUGAGUCUGAGAAUCCUCAUAGUUUAAGGGAUAGGGCC